rnacentral:rRNA from 1 species
UACGGAGGGUGCAAGCGUUAUCCGGAUUCACUGGGUUUAAAGGGUGCGUAGGUGGGUUGGUAAGUCAGUGGUGAAAUCUCCAGGCUCAACUUGGAAACUGCCAUUGAUACUAUUAAUCUUGAAUACCGUGGAGGUCAGCGGAAUAUGUCAUGUAGCGGUGAAAUGCUUAGAUAUGACAUGGAACACCAAUUGCGAAGGCAGCUGGCUACACGAAUAUUGACACUGAUGCACGAAAGCGUGGGGAUCAAACAGG